rnacentral:rRNA from 1 species
GAUGAACGCUGGCGGCGUGCCUAAUACAUGCAAGUCGAGCGAAUGGAUUAAGAGCUUGCUCUUAUGAAGUUAGCGGCGGACGGGUGAGUAACACGUGGGUAACCUGCCCAUAAGACUGGGAUAACUCCGGGAAACCGGGGCUAAUACCGGAUAAUAUUUUGAACUGCAUGGUUCAAAAUUGAAAGGCGGCUUCGGCUGUCACUUAUGGAUGGACCCGCGUCGCAUUAGCUAGUUGGUGAGGUAACGGCUCACCAAGGCAACGAUGCGUAGCCGACAUGAGAGGGUGAUCGGACACACUGGGACUGAGACACGGCCCAGACUCCUACGGGAGGUAGCAGUAGGGAAUCUUCCGCAAUGGACGAAAGUCUGACGGAGCAACGCCGCGUGAGUGAUGAAAGCUUUCGGGUAGUAAAACUCUGUUGUUAGGGAAGAACAAGUGCUAGUUGAAUAAGCUGGCACCUUGACGGUACCUAACCAGAAAGCCACGGCUAACUACGUGCCAGCCGCCGCGGUAA